rnacentral:rRNA from 1 species
AUUGAACGCUGGCGGCAGGCCUAACACAUGCAAGUCGAGCGAGCGGCGGACGGGUGAGUAAUGUCUGGGAAACUGCCUGAUGGAGGGGGGUAACUACUGGAAACGGUAGCUAAUAACGCAUACUAUCAGAUGUGCCCAGAUGGGAUUAGCUAGUGGGUGGGGUAAAGGCUCACCUAGGCGACGAUCCCUAGCUGGUCUGAGAGGAUGACCAGCCACACUGGAACGGAGAAACGGUCCAGACUCCUACGGGAGGCAGCAGUGGGGAAUAUUGCACAAUGGGCGAAAGCCUGAUGCAGCCAUGCCGCGUGUGGGAAGAAGGCCUUCGGGUGGUAAAGCACUUUGAGCGGGGAGGCGUUACCCGCAGAAGAAGCACCGGCUAACUACGUGCCAGCCGCCGCGGUAAUAC